CCGGGUCUCUCGGCCGGCGGUAGGGCCGCCGGCGCUGCGGCCGCCGGUGCGGCCACGGCCGGAUCCGGGCGUUCGCCGCGCAGGACGCGGGCCA
rnacentral:tRNA from 1 species